rnacentral:rRNA from 1 species
UUUUCAGUGUCGCAGCGAAAGCGAUAAACACACCGCCUGGGGAGUACGACCGCAAGGUUAAAACUCAAAUGAAUUGACGGGGACCCGCACAAGUAGUGGAGCAUGUGGUUUAAUUCGAAGAUACGCGCAGAACCUUACCAACACUUGACAUGUUCGUCGCGACUCUAAGAGAUUAGAGUUUUCGGUUCGGCCGGACGAAACACAGGUGCUGCAUGGCUGUCGUCAGCCCGUGUCGUGAGAUGUUGGGUUAAGUCCCGCAACGAGCGCAACCCUCACUUUUAGUUGCCAUCAUUAAGUUGGGCACUCUGAAAGAACUGCCAGUGAUAAGCUGGAGGAAGGUGGGGAUGACGUCAAGUCCUCAUGGCCCUUACGCGUUGGGCUACACACGUGCUACAAUGGUAUCUACAACAGGAAGCAAGACUGCGAGGUCAAGCAAAUCCUUAAAAGAUACCUCAGUUCGGAUUGCACUCUGCAACUCGAGUGCAUGAAGCUGGAAUUACUAGUAAUCGUGGAUCAGCGUGCCACGGUGAAUGCGUUCCCGGGUCUUGUACACACCGCCCGUCACACCAUGGGAGUUGGUUCUACCUUAAGGCAAGGUUUAAUACCCUUGACCACGGUAUAGUCAGCGACUGGGGUGAAGUCGUAACAAGGUAGCCGUAGGGGAACCUGCGGCUGGAUUACCUCCUU